CCCUUAGAUGUCCUGGGCCGCACGCGCGUUACACUGAUGCAUUCAACGAGCUUAUAACCUUGGCCGAGAGGCCUGGGCAAUCUUGUUAACGUGCAUCGUAAUAGGGAUAGAUUAUUGAAAUUAUUAAUCUUGAACGAGGAAUUCCUAGUAAACGCAGAUCAUCAAUCUGCAUUGAUUACGUCCCUGCCCUUUGUACACACCGCCCGUCGCACCUACCGAUUGGAUGGUCCGGUGAAGCCUCGGGAUUGUGGUUCUUGCCGCUUUAUUGUGGCGUGACCGCGAGAACUUGUCUAAACCUUAUCAUCUAGAGGAAGGUGAAGUCGUAACA
rnacentral:rRNA from 1 species